rnacentral:rRNA from 1 species
CACGGGGUUGCGAGCGUUGUCCGGAAUUACUAGGCGUAAAGGGCAGGCAGGCGGAUCCAUAAGUUUAUCGUUUAAGGCGUCGGCUUAACCGGCGUAGGGCGGUAGAUACUGUGGAUCUGGAAUGCGGUUGGGGAAGACAGAAUUCCUGGUGUAGCGGUGGAAUGCGCAGAGAUCAGGAGGAAUACCGAAGGCGAAGGCAGUCUUCCAAGCCGUUAUUGACGCUCAACUGCGAAGGUGUGGGUAUCAAACAGGAUUAGAUACUCGCGUAGUCCCU